AAAAGACCUUCAAAGCUGCAAUCGGUGAAAUUCACUAUAAGAAUUGGUACCACAAGGCCACAAAGGGAGGAGUUCAACUAAUUUGUGGAUGAUGUUCAAAGCUGAGGAGAGUGAGAGCUUAAAUCUAUAAAACGGGUCAAAAACGUUUGAUAAAGAAACUGUCAUAAAUUCUUCAGGUAAUUGAAAGAGGGCAAGUUGUACAAAAUGCCAUGGAGCUAAAUAAACAUGGAGAAGAAACUGUGAUGUCACACAGUUAAAUUCAGUAUUGGCAGAAUUGUGUUCUUAUAAGUUAUCAUAUGUUGCGGGAUUUUCAGAGAUUUGAUGCAUCCUGGGUAAAAAUAGCCAAAACACCGUCAUAUUGGAUUCCCGGAGGAAGAUGAAACAUUUUUUUGCUUAAAUAGAAAGCAAUAGUUAUUUAUUGUAAAAGGUACUAUACACACUUUCUAUACAAAUAUUUGUCUGAUGAAAAUCUAUGUCGGGGUAUGUAAACAAUAAUUCAUGGAUAUCGUCCAAGUUUAACGAGAGUGCGAAAAUUGGAGACUAUCGAGAAAACCCAAUUAUCACCAAAGCCUGCAAAGGAUUGUGGGUCUAAAUCUGACUAUUAUCUAUUUUUAGAGCUUCCUAUCUGUUGUAUAUAUAUAUAUAUAUCUGUGAAAAUGCAAAGAAGUCGUUGGAUUACCAAAGAUCAACAUUUCAU